rnacentral:rRNA from 1 species
UACGUAGGGUGCGAGCGUUAAUCGGAAUUACUGGGCGUAAAGCGUGCGCAGGCGGUUUUGUAAGCCAGAUGUGAAAUCCCCGGGCUCAACCUGGGAAUGGCAUUUGGGACUGCAAGGCUGGAGUGCGGCAGAGGAGACUGGAGUUCCUGGUGUAGCAGUGAAAUGCGUAGAUAUCAGGAGGAAUACCGAUGGCGAAGGCAGGUCUCUGGGCCACUACUGACGCUGAGAAGCGAAAGCAUGGGGAGCGAACAGG